rnacentral:rRNA from 1 species
ACAAACCAAAUGUUUGAAACUCAAAGGACUUGGCGGUGCCUCAAACCCACCUAGAGGAGCCUGUUCUAUAAUCGAUAAUCCACGAUCUACCUCACCACCUCUCGCUCACAGCCUAUAUACCUCCGUCCACAGCUUACCCUACUAAGGAACAAAAGUAAGCACAAUAGUUUACACAACUAAUAAGUCAGGUCAAGGUGUAGCCAACUGAGGCGGAAGAAAUGGGCUACAUUUUCUACACUAGAAAUAUUAACGGAAAGAACCCUGAA